rnacentral:rRNA from 1 species
GCGUAAAGCGUGCGUAGGCGGCGCGUUAAGUCAGAUGUGAAAGCCCCGGGCUUAACCUGGGAACUGCAUUUGAAACUGGCGCGCUAGAGUUGAGUAGAGGUAAGUGGAAUUUCAGGUGUAGCGGUGAAAUGCGUAGAUAUCUGAAGGAACACCAGUGGCGAAGGCGACUUACUGGACUCAAACUGACGCUGAGGUACGAAAGCGUGGGUAGCAAACAGGAUUAGAUACCCUGGUAGUCCACGCCGUAUACGAUGUCAACUAGCCGUUGGUCCUAUAUACAGGAUUAGUGGCGCAGCUAACGCAUUAAGUUGACCGCCUGGGGAGUACGGCCGCAAGGUUAAAACUCAAAUGAAUUGACGGGGGCCCGCACAAGCGGUGGAGCAUGUGGUUUAAUUCGAUGCAACGCGAAGAACCUUACCUACCCUUGACAUCCAGUGAAUUCGGCAGAGAUGCCUUAGUGCCUUCGGGAACACUGAGACAGGUGCUGCAUGGCUGUCGUCAGCUCGUGUUGUGAAAUGUUGGGUUAAGUCCCGUAACGAGCGCAACCCUUAUCCUUAGUUGCCAGCGGUUCGGCCGGGAACUCUAGGGAGACUGCCGAUGAUAAAUCGGAGGAAGGUGGGGACGACGUCAAGUCAUCAUGGCCCUUAUGGGUAGGGCUACACACGUGCUACAAUGGCCGGUACAGAGGGCAGCGAACUUGCGAAAGUAAGCAAAUCCCAGAAAGCCGGUCCUAGUCCGGAUUGGAGUCUGCAACUCGACUCCAUGAAGUCGGAAUCGCUAGUAA